rnacentral:rRNA from 1 species
CGCCUGUUUAACAAAAACAUGUCUUUUUGUUUAUAAUUUAAAGUCUAAUCUGCCCAUUGAUAAUAAAAUUAAAAGGCCGCGGUAUUUUGACCGUGCAAAGGUAGCAUAAUCAAUAGUUUCUUAAUUAGAAGCUUGAAUGAAUGAUUGAAUGAAAUAUAGACUGUCUUUAUAUAGUUGUUAUAGAAAUUAAUUUUUAAGUUAAAAAGCUUAAAUUAAGUUAAAGGACGAGAAGACCCUUUAAAGCUUUAUAUAAAAGUUAUAGGUAAUGUUUAAUAAUAUUUAAAUUACAUAUAAUUAUAUAUUUUAUUGGGGCGAUAGGAAAAUUUAUGAAACUUUUUUUUUAAAAAAACAAUUAUUAUUGAUUAAUUGAUCCAUAAUUUGUGAUUAUAAGGUUAAGUUACUUAAGGGAUAACAGCGUAAUAUUUUUUGAGAGAACUAAUCGACAAAAAAGAUUGCGACCUCGAUGUUGGAUUAAGAUGAUUUUUAGGUGCAGAAGUUUAAAAAUUUGGUCUGUUCGACCAUUUAUUCUUACAUGAUCUGAGUUCAAACCGGAG